rnacentral:rRNA from 1 species
UACAGAGGUGGCAAGCGUUGUUCGGAAUUACUGGGCGUAAAGGGCGCGUAGGCGGUCGGCUAAGUCCCGUGUGAAAUCCCUCGGCUCAACUGAGGAACUGCACGGGAAACUGGUUGACUUGAGUUCGGGAGAGGGAAGCGGAAUUCCGGGUGUAGCGGUGAAAUGCGUAGAUAUCCGGAGGAACACCGGUGGCGAAGGCGGCUUCCUGGACCGAUACUGACGCUGAGGCGCGAAAGCUAGGGGAGCAAACGGG